rnacentral:rRNA from 1 species
AGAGCGAACGCUGGCGGCAGGCCUAAUACAUGCAAGUCGAACGGCUCUUCGGAGCAGUGGCGGACGGGUGAGUAACGCGUGGGAAUGUGCCCUUUGGUACGGAACAACUGAGGGAAACUUCAGCUAAUACCGUAUGUGCCCUUCGGGGGAAAGAUUUAUUGCCAUUGGAGCAGCCCGCGUUGGAUUAGCUAGUUGGUGGGGUAAAGCCCACAAGGCGACGAUCCAUAGCUGGUCUGAGAGGAUGAUCAGCCACACUGGGACUGAGACACGGCCCAGACUCCUACGGGAGGCAGCAGUAGGGAAUCUUGCGCAAUGGGCGAAAGCCUGACGCAGCCAUGCCGCGUGAAUGAUGAGUCUUAGGAUUGUAAAAUUCUUUCACCGGGAAGAUAAUGACGGUACCGGAGAAGAAGCCCGGCUAACUUCGUGCCAGCAGCCGAC